rnacentral:rRNA from 1 species
UACGUAGGGUGCGAGCGUUGUCCGGAAUUAUUGGGCGUAAAGAGCUCGUAGGCGGUGUGUCGCGUCGGCCGUGAAAACCCGCAGCUUAACUGUGGGCGUGCGGUCGAUACGGGCAUCACUGGAGUUCGGCAGGGGAGACUGGAAUUCCUGGUGUAGCGGUGAAAUGCGCAGAUAUCGGGAGGAACACCUAUGGCGAAGGCAGCUCGCUGGGACGGUACUGACGCUGAGACGCGAAAGCGUGGGGAGCAAACAGG